rnacentral:ncRNA from 1 species
UAAUUAAAUUUGGUUAGUAAGAAAAACUUCAAAGAUUUUUUAUGAAAUUUUUAAAAAAGAAAUUUUUCAGAAAAUAAAAUUUAAUUAACAAUUAAAAAUUGUUGAAAUUUUUUAGAAAAAUUAGCUAAUUUUGUGCCAGCAGCAGCGGUUAAACAAAAAAUUUAUUUUCUUUCUCUAAAAUAAAAUUUUAAAUUAAAUUAAUUAAUUUUAUAAAGAAAAGGUAAAAUUUUUCUUUAGUAUGUAUUUUGAAAAUUAAAAAAAAUUCUUAUAUUAAACCAGGAUUAGAUACCCUGUUAUUUUAGAGCCGUAUAUUGUAAGUAUAUAAAAAAUAUGAAAACAAAAAAUUAUGGCGGUGCUUUGAACUUUUCAGAGGAAUUUGCUCUUUAAUGGAUAAAACACCACAACCUUACUAAAAUUAGCAAUUUCAGUUUGUAUACCACUAUAAAAAUAAUAAUUAGUUAUUAUUAUUAGAAUUUUAUUAAAAAAAUAAAUUAAGUCAUGGUGCAGCAAAAAUUUUAGAAUGAAGUGAAUUACAUUAUUUUUCAAUUUACGUAAAUUGAAAAAUAAAAUAGGAUUUGAAAAUAAAAAUAUAAUAUAAUGAUAUUUUGAAAUAAGUUCUAAAGCAUGUACAUAUCGCCCGUCGCUCUUUUAUGAAGAUAAGUCGUAACAAAGUUAAAAUACUGGAAAGUGUUUU